UAUCAUAGAUCUAAUGCUGAAUUCUUCUCAGUGCCUUAUGUCAGGAGACACAUGCUAUCAAUUAGUCUCAUUAUUAAAGAUAUUAACUUUGAUCAUUUGGUAAAGGUGGUGUUUGCCAGGUUAUAGUCCUGCAAAGUUAUUAUUUUACCCUUUGUAAUCAGUAGGUAUCUUGUGCGUAGACACUUUGGCACUAUGCAAAUAUCCUUUGACUUCCCUUAAACUCUAACUUCUAGUUUUAGCAUCCACUGAUAAUCUUGCUUGAGUCAACUGUUAUUAUGACGGGUGCCAAAUGGCAAUUUUCUAAUUACAUCAUUCUGUCUACAUUAUUAGUUGGUUUUCUAUUGAAAGAAAGGACCCCUAUCCUCAUCUUUCUUUCCAUCAGUGAGGACACAUGGACCCCUACUGCAUGUAGUACUAUUUUUAUUUAUUUUAAUACUCACAUUGUCCCAGAUUUGGCCAGUGGGAGCCAUUUUAAGCUGGCUUUUGUGUCCUUUUGACAUAUCCUCACUAUUUCCUUGAACACUUUCAGAAUUUUUGCCAUUAUAAGGUGUUCCUGGCUUAUCUUAUGUUUUUCUUGCCUUAGCCCUGGAAUCAGCCAUUUCUCCAAGGACUCCUGGUACCCUUCAAUGGAGAAUGGUGUUUAGAGGCCAAGAUCUGGAUGUCAGAUUCUUCCUGUUGAUGUCCAAUUGACAAAAAUAUCUUAGGGAAGAAGGUGAAGAAACAAGCUUCUUAGAGACUAUGUAACUUGGCCACAUGUCAAGGAUAUUUGAGAUUCAAGCCCAAAUUCUUCAGACUAUGGAGCCCAUGCUAAUUCCAGGACACCAUGAAAUCACACACGUGUGAAGGCAAUUCUUGAACUACGGGGAUGCAGUUCUCAGUCUUCUUAUUCUGUAACACACAUCACCAAUCAACAUUCGCAUGAGAAACCCAAGCUUAUGCCCAAUUCCUGGAAUACUAUCUUUACCUGGAUCAUAUUCUCUGCCACAGAAGAAAGCAUGUGAAUGGGUGAAAACAAGAAGUGCUUCUCUUCACAGAAGUGGGCUUUAAAAGCCAUUUUCAAAUGAAAGAUUGCUCUUGCCUCCCCUCCUGUGCUCACCACCGCAUUUGCAACAGGUUUAUGCUACCAUAGAGGUGAAGAAGUCCAGUCUCCUUUGAUGCAUCGAAAGUCAAAUACACUGUAACAUGGGAUACAAGUACAUCUGACAAAGAGGCACAUUUUAUUACUAAACUUGGAAAUGAAUUAAUCUAAUUACUGCUGAAUUGCUUGACCAACACGAAAACCUAGGAAGGUAUGCUGUGGCUGCAAUUGUCAUCGUAAGUGAUACAACCACCAGUUGGAGAGUGCUUUGGAACUUUAAAGUGCCACACUGGGUAAAAGGUUUUCUACUAUCUUACUGUGAUUGGUAUAACCCUGGAACAAUAAAGAUUCUGAAUCUCAGGCAUUGGAAACAUCUGGUUCUUUGGUUUACAUCCAUCCCUUCCUCUGAGGUAGGACCUCUUCUCCAAAUACAAGCCAAUAUGUUGUCCUGAGGCAUGGAGGCAUUUACUGUCACAGAAUUCACCACAUAUUGGUUAUGGAGUAAGCACAUGACUGAAGUGAGUCCUAUCAUGUAUGAUACCCUAUGGUCUGCCAGUGGAUAUUUGCCCAGAGAUGAUCAUAAAACCAACAGGAGCCUAUCAGAGUACCCUCCCAGGGGCUUUCUAACUAGAGUCAGAGGGAAAUGUUCCCUUUCACCCCUUUUUGGUAGCAAGGCUGUGACAGUGUAAGUCCCAAGCUGCCCAUGGUCCUGUUCCUUCUGCCAAAUGAAGAAAGUCUCCUAGUAGUAGAAGAGAAUAAAGUUGACAUGAAGGGAGAACAAGAUACAAAGGAUACAGAUUCCUGAGAGUUUUGAGUUCUUGAAUUCAAUGGCCACAAAGACAGCUGCAACACAAGCUUCUCUGAGAUUCAGCUAUGUGAGUUGAUAAUCACCUCCUUUCCAAGCCACUUGUGCCUGUUGCUUUUCUUUGAGUUCCUGUCACUUAUAACCCAAAGUUUCUGUGUGAUACACAUUCUGUAAGAUUGAUACUAAUGAUAUUGUAAGAGCAUUUCUCUGGGAAUAAAGUAUGAGGUGUUACUAGUCAGUGUCUAACUGAUUUCCAGCCAUAAUCCUACCAUGCCAUCAUCCUGAAAUGUAUCCUAAUAUACUACAAAUUAAACCUCAACACAAGUUGUUUACCACUGCAUAAUUUGCUGCCACCCACAAUUUUCAGGAAGAAGUGAUGACAAAGGUGUCCAUGAACCCCUCAUAUACAGUGAUUGUGGAGCUUCACUACUUGCAACUAUGCACAUCUUGUCUAUGUACACGACUCACUGGGGUUAACUGGGAUUGACAAAUAUUGAUUCGUGAACUUCAGAUCAUGUGAUGGACCAGCACAUGUGAGAUGAUGAUAGAAUAAAGUAUGGGGUACUGACAAUUUACAAGAAUCGAGAUAUGCAGUAUUGGUCUAAUUUGCAUUUUAGAUAACUUAGCUUCCAUUCAAUUUAGAAAGUCUAGCUCUUCCAGGAAAAGCUUCUUGCAUCCCAAGAAAAUGAUCUCACACCUGAAUAAGAGCUUCUUUUAGACAGGGCUAAAUUUUCCUUUUGUAAAGCGAAACUGCAUAUUUAUUCUAUAGGAGAAGAAAGAAGUCACCUUGGAGCAGAUCUCUGCUUUGAAAAGGGUUGGCAUAGGGAAAUGUAAAUUGAAUAGGACUCACUAUCCUUAGAGAAGGGUAUCAUACUUUUGUUGCCAGGGGACUACUUUUCUGUUUUCUUUGAUAUGUUGACAGAUGAAUCAGUUUUAUAAAAAGCUAGGGUCUUUGUGGAAGAAAAGACCCAGACUCUGACCCCAAUUUAACAAUUAAGGGUGAAAAAAAAUCAAAAUUAAGGGCAACUCUAAAGGUGACCUAUGGUGUCCCUAAACAAGAGAUCUUCUGGCAGGAGGAGACAUAAAGACUCUCAAGAGGAACUCGCCAGAAGGAAAAGUAUUUCUGGUUUCAUGACCCGAAUCUAGAAUGAUAGGACCCAAGAAUUGUUAAGGAAGAGCUAGUUCUGGAGGGAUAUGUAACUAAGUUUGGAAGUCCCUCUGGACUUGGCCCUGGCAUGGUGCUGUGCUUUGAGAACAGUGGAUGUGUGUAGGAUUGUGAAAUGAGAAAACUCUUGCUUAGUCUCCAAGUGGGCAAUGCUGCAGACUGUGCAGGAUUCCAAGUCACCAUGAGAAUCUCAUAGGCCUGGGGCUAACUUGCAUGGGAUUGUGGAGAACCAAGAUCUGGCAGCAAACGGAGCCAGGAUGCCACAGAGAAAGGUAAGGCUUUUGGUUCUCUGUCUUCCAGCAUUGUUCCUUCAAACAACAAGUUAGCUCCUGGGGUCCUGGAACCCUCUUCAGCAGGAGUUGGUGAGCCACCAUCUCACAGGCCAAAUCCAGCCUGGUUUUGUAAAUAGUGUUACUUGAUUCGUGGGUUGGAGGUCCGUAUCAGGCUCUGUGCUGACAGUGUGGAGCCUGCUUGGGAUUCUCUCUCCUUGUCUCUCUGCCCCUCCCCAACUCAUGCUGUCUCCAAAUAAAUAAAUAAAUAAAUAAAUAAAUAAACCUAAAAAAAUAAUAUAAAUAGUGUUACUGAAACACAACCACACACAGCCUUUCUGUGUUGUCUAUGCCUGUUUUGAUAUUGCAGUGGCAGAGUCGAACAGCUGUGACACAAGAUUAUGUAGCUCACAAAAUGUAAAAUAUUCUCUUGGGUUCUUAAUGGAAUGCAGUGCUGACCCCUGAUAUUCAACAGCUUUCAGAAUUUCCCUUCACCCCAUCUAUCCUAAUUCUCACUAAUUCUAAAUUUUAGUUUGAAUUUACUCUGAACCCACGUGGUUGAUCUUACUGUCUCCAGAAUAAACAGUGACAUUUUCCGGCAUAUACCAUUUCUCACCAAUUGCUCUCAUGGCAGAGUUCUUAAACAACCCUCUAUCCCACUGAAAUAUCUAGUCUUGACUCUUUAAUGUCAUAUCUGUGGAUGUGAAUUCACAGAGCACAGUGAAUUUGUGACAUGACUUCAUAUACACAGGAAUAAUGCAGACAGAACGAUGUAUAGUUUAUUUUUCACAGAAGAUUUGACAGAAAUUAAAAAUAUUCCUUAAUAUGCCAUAAAAUACAGUAGAGAGAAUUUUAAUGUAAUAUUUAAAUUUUAGACAUCCAUUUGCCUUUGUAAAUACUAUUCAGAGGAAAUUUUAAACCUUCAAAUGUCAUAAAAUGGCAAAAGCCACAUUAUACAAAUAUCUUUAAUUUGUUCAAUCUGUGCUGAGUUCUUUCAAGGUUAUUUAAAAUGGCAUGCAAAUUAGAGUAAAUUAACCAAUAUUUCAGAAAAAGCAGAUGGAACCUUGGUCUUAAUGCCAUUUGAAUACUGAAACCAACUGUUGUAUUGAUUAGAAAGGAAACGUACUAGAUUUAAUGAAAAUAAUGUUGUUUUCUAUUGCUGAUCAGCUGCUCAUUGACAUCAUACACAACUCAAUUUUAAAAUUUGGGAAAAAAUUUAAAUGUAACAAUUCAAGAAAUACUUAUUGAAGGGCUAUUCUAUAUAUGGUACUGUACCAGGUACUGAAGGCAUAGAGAUAAAUGAGCACAGUUUUGUCCUAAACAAGUUUACACUAUACUAAGGGAAGCUAUGUGAAAUCAAAUACU